UUUUAUGUAAUGCCCAGUAUGGCCUGGUUAGAGCGUCCGCCUCGGAUGCGGGAGGUCGUGGGUUCAAUCCCCGGUUUAGUUGAG